rnacentral:misc_RNA from 1 species
AGCAGCCGCGGUAAUUCCAGCUCCAAUAGCGUAUAUUAAAGUUGUUGCAGUUAAAAAGCUCGUAGUUGAAUUUCGGGGUCAGUAGGUCGGUCGUGCCACUGGUAUGAACUGGUUUUACUGAUUCCUCCCUCUUGAAGAACUGUAAUGCCAUUAAUUUGGUGUUGCAGGGAAUCAGGACUGUUACUUUGAAAAAAUUAGAGUGUUUAAAGCAGGCUUUAGCUUGAAUACAUUAGCAUGGAAUAAUGAAAUAGGACGUUUGAUCCUAUUUUGUUGGUUUCUAGGAUUGACGUAAUGAUUAAUAGGGAUAGUUGGGGGCAUUAGUAUUCAAUUGUCAGAGGUGAAAUUCUUGGAUUUAUUGAAGACUAACUACUGCGAAAGCAUUUUGCCAAGGAUGUUUUCAUUAAUCAAGAACGAAAGUUAGGGGAUCGAAGACGAUCAGAUACCGUCGUAGUCUUAACCAUAAACUAUGCCGACUAGGGAUCGGAUGAUGUUAAUUUUUUCAAUGACUCAUUCGGCGCCU